AUUGAACGCUGGCGGCAGGCCUAACACAUGCAAGUCGAACGGUAACAGGAAGCAGCUUGCUGCUUCGCUGACGAGUGGCGGACGGGUGAGUAAUGUCUGGGAAACUGCCUGAUGGAGGGGGAUAACUACUGGAAACGGUAGCUAAUACCGCAUAACGUCGCAAGACCAAAGAGGGGGACCUUAUGGCCUCUUGCCAUCGGAUGUGCCCAGAUGGGAUUAGCUAGUAGGUGGGGUAACGGCUCACCUAGGCGACGAUCCCUAGCUGGUCUGAGAGGAUGACCAGCCACACUGGAACUGAGACACGGUCCAGACUCCUACGGGAGGCAGCAGUGGGGAAUAUUGCACAAUGGGCGCAAGCCUGAUGCAGCCAUGCCGCGUGUAUGAAGAAGGCCUUCGGGUUGUAAAGUACCUUCAGCGGGGAGGAAGGGAGUAAAGUUAAUACCUUUGCUCAUUGACGUUACCCGCAGAAGAAGCGCCGGCUAACUCCGUG
rnacentral:rRNA from 1 species